AACGUAGGACGCAAGCGUUAUCCGGAGUUACUGGGCGUAAAGCGCGGGCAGGCGGUCGGUCAAGUCUGAUGUGAAAUCUCUCCGCUCAACGGGGAGCAGCCAUUGGAAACUGGGCGACUGGAGUCUGGCAGAGGUAGGCGGAAUUCCGGGUGGAGUGGUGAAAUGCGUAGAGAUCCGGAGGAACACCAGAGGCGAAGGCGGCCUACUGGGCCAGUACUGACACUGAGGCACGAAAGCUAGGGGAGCAAACAGG
rnacentral:rRNA from 1 species